rnacentral:rRNA from 1 species
CAGCACCUCAAGUGGUCAGGAUGAUUAUUGGGCCUAAAGCAUCCGUAGCCGGCGCUGUAAGUUUUCGGUUAAAUCUGUACGCUCAACGUACAGGCUGCCGGGAAUACUGCAGCGCUAGGGAGUGGGAGAGGUAGACGGUACUCGGUAGGAAGGGGUAAAAUCCUUCGAUCUAUUGAUGACCACCUGUGGCGAAGGCGGUCUACCAGAACACGUCCGACGGUGAGGGAUGAAAGCUGGGGGAGCAAACCGGAUUAGAUACCCGAGUAGUCC